rnacentral:misc_RNA from 1 species
GAUGAAGAACGCAGCGAAAUGCGAUAAGUAAUGUGAAUUGCAGAAUUCAGUGAACCAUCGAAUCUUUGAACGCACAUUGCGCCCGGCAGUAAUCUGCCGGGCAUGCCUGUCCGAGCGUCAUUUCUACCCUCGAGAGAGUCCAGCAUCUAGGUGCUGGGCCUCGCCCGGCGUUGGAGCACUACGGGAAGCCCUGUGCUGUCCCCCGUAGGCCCCGAAAUGAAGUGGCGGUCCUGCCGCGGCGCCCCCUGCGUAGUAUAACAGCUCGCUUCGGGACCCGGUGGAGGCCUGCCGUCAAACCUAUACUCUCUAAGUUUGACCUCGGAUCAGGUAGGGUUACCCGCUGAACUUAAGCAUAUCAAUAAGCGGAGGA